UACGUAGGGGGCUAGCGUUGUCCGGAUUUAUUGGGCGUAAAGAGCGUGUAGGCGGCCAGAUAGGUCUGCUGUGAAAACUCGAGGCUCAACCUCGAGAUGUCGGCGGAAACCAUUUGGCUAGAGUCCGGAAGAGGAGAAUGGAAUUCCCGGUGUAGCGGUGAAAUGCGCAGAUAUCGGGAAGAACACCCGUGGCGAAGGCGGUUCUCUGGGACGGUACUGACGCUGAGACGCGAAAGCGUGGGGAGCGAACAGG
rnacentral:rRNA from 1 species